UGGGGAAUAUUGCACAAUGGGCGCAAGCCUGAUGCAGCCAUGCCGCGUGUAUGAAGAAGGCCUUCGGGUUGUAAAGUACUUUCAGCGGGGAGGAAGGGAGUAAAGUUAAUACCUUUGCUCAUUGACGUUACCCGCAGAAGAAGCACCGGCUAACUCCGUGCCAGCAGCCGCGGUAAUACGGAGGGUGCAAGCGUUAAUCGGAAUUACUGGGCGUAAAGCGCACGCAGGCGGUCUGUCAAGUCGGAUGUGAAAGCCCCCGGCUCAACCGGGGAGGGUCAUUGGAAACUGGGAGACUUGAGUGCAGAAGAGGAGAGUGGAAUUCCAUGUGUAGCGGUGAAAUGCGUAGAUAUAUGGAGGAACACCAGUGGCGAAGGCGGCUCUCUGGUCUGUAACUGACGCUGAGGCUCGAAAGCGUGGGGAGCAAACAGG
rnacentral:rRNA from 1 species